UCCGACUUUGUUUCGUGCCGCCCACAUAUUUCAAUAUUUUGCCAACAUGUCACAUGGAUGACAUUCAUUUCCUACAGUCAACACGCACAAUUUGCCGUUCGCAAAUGAAAUGAAUCGCUCCAAGACAACAAAGUCAAACUGCGGAAAAAGCAGCCAGCGCAACUCGUACAAAUCUCCUGACACACCGGAAAAUCUUGAACGAAAAACCCAGAAAAACGAAAGCAGUAAGGGGAAAGCCGAACAUGUUUUAGCCCAAAAGCGAAAAUCAACACAUGCAAAUGGUGAAAGUGAAAGCAGUAGCUGACAGCUCCAGGCCAGAUGGCUGAGAAUAGAUUUCAAAAAAUGUUUAGCAAUAUGUGUACACAACAAAAAAUUAACAAUUUUCUUUAAUAGGUGG
ensembl:ncRNA lncRNA:CR45699 long non-coding RNA:CR45699